rnacentral:lncRNA from 9 species
UUAAUGGUGUUCUGGUAUUAGCUUCUAGUUUAUAUUAAAAAUGAAAUUAUUUUAACUCUUAAUUAUAAUGGCUAAUGGCUUAAUCUCUAAUCUAGUGUGAUGUCUAUCCAGUUUUUUCUGACUCUUUCUUCAUGUCUUACAAAUUAGGAUGACUGUUUGUCACUUCAGUCAUCAGUAAGAAUCACAGAGGAGUUCCUAUUGUGGCUCUGUGGUUAACAAACCUGACUGGCAUCCAUGAGGAUGCAGGUUCAAUUCCUGGCCUUGCUCAGUAGGUUAAGGAUCCCGUGUUGUUGUGAGCUGUGGUAUAGGUCACAGAUGCGGCUCGGAUCCCGAGUUGCAAUGUCCUGGCCUAGGCUGGCGGCUACAGCUCUGAUUGGACCCCUAGCCUGGGAACUCCGUAUGCCAUGGGUGCAGCCCUAAAAAGUCAGAAAGACCAAAAUAAAUAAAUAAGUAAAUAAAUAACAUAGAAAAUAAUUUUCUUUCCUUAACAAUUUAUUUUCAAAUUAAACAUUUGCAUACUCAGUCUUUGUCAGUUGCCCUCUGUGGAAGUCUUUCUUUUACCGUCUGAGUACUAUAAAUUGAAAGCCAUCUGAUCUUUUUACUUUGCAUUUUUAUAGAUUUUUAAAAGUGUUUUUGCUUGUCCUUUUAAUUUCUUUUUUUUUUUUCAUUUGAGAAUCCUCUGAUGUCUUCCUGUGUCUUCCUGCCACAAGUAGCAUUCUCCCUGGCUGAAUUACAUGUUUUUUCUAGCACAUGAGAGCAAGGAAUUCAAGAAGUAUUAAAAGGAGAAAAAUGUAUGCCAGGACUCCAGCAUCCUGCCCUUCCAUUAUUUCAAAGAUGAAGGAACAAGAGCAUGGAACUAGAAAGUCACAGUUCAAAAACAACAAAAAUUUGUCACAUAAUUCUGAAAGGACUGUUUUGGCUGGGAUCAAAGAGAAAUUGAAGUUUCAUUGAAAGUGGGAGAAAAGUGGUGCUCACUCCUUCAAAUGGUAAGGUCAUAACAGAUUUUAUUUUCCUCUCUGACCUAAGUGGAUGUUAGGAACAUGACUUUUGUAAAUGCUUUAGACUGUAAUUCCCUCAGCACUUUCCUUUUUAUCUGUGCUUCAAAACAUUUUCUGUCUUGGUGUGGUUUUCAGUAUUUAUAUUAGGGCUCCUAGAAAAGUCAUUUUGCAAAAAUACAUAGUUGAGGAAAUAAUGUUGCUUAAAAGGUCAUUUUUUUGGCAAAUGGGUUCACAGUAAACUUUAAAACUUUGUGUUCUUAUAAAAUCAUUUGAAGAAAAAAUGUGGUAAUAUAAUAAUUUACAAAAAUAAAUCAUUGGCUUCUGCCAAAUACAUGAUAAUCCAAGAAAAAUGCAGAAUUGCCCAUGAUACAGACACCUGUGUCAUGAGAUUGCCUUUUUGAAUUAGCCCCUAUUCCACUUUAGUGUACAUCAACAUAACUGUAACC